rnacentral:piRNA from 1 species
AAGGAUGAGAGGUGUUUCCACUGAGGAU